GAUGAACGCUGGCGGCGUGCCUAAUACAUGCCAGUCGAGCGAACAGAUGAGGAGCUUGCUCCUCUGACGUUAGCGGCGGACGGGUGAGUAACACGUGGAUAACCUACCUAUAAGACUGGGAUAACUUCGGGAAACCGGAGCUAAUACCGGAUAAUAUAUUGAACCGCAUGGUUCAAUAGUGAAAGACGGUUUUGCUGUCACUUAUAGAUGGAUCCGCGCCGCAUUAGCUAGUUGGUAAGGUAACGGCUUACCAAGGCAACGAUGCGUAGCCGACCUGAGAGGGUGAUCGGCCACACUGGAACUAAGACACGGUCCAGACUCCUACGGGAGGCAGCAGUAGGGAAUCUUCCGCAAUGGGCGAAAGCCUGACGGAGCAACGCCGCGUGAGUGAUGAAGGUCUUCGGAUCGUAAAACUCUGUUAUUAGGGAAGAACAAAUGUGUAAGUAACUAUGCACGUCUUGACGGUACCUAAUCAGAAAGCCACGGCUAACUACGUG
rnacentral:rRNA from 1 species